rnacentral:rRNA from 1 species
UUCCUACGGGGCGCAGCAGUAGGGAAUCUUCCACAAUGGACGAAAGUCUGAUGGAGCAACGCCGCGUGAGUGAAGAAGGGUUUCGGCUCGUAAAGCUCUGUUGGUAGUGGAGAAAGAUAGAGGUAGUAACUGGCCUUUAUUUGACGGUAAUUACUUAGAAAGUCACGGCUAACUACGUGCCAGCAGCCGCGGUAAUACGUAGGUGGCAAGCGUUGUCCGGAUUUAUUGGGCGUAAAGCGAGUGCAGGCGGUUGAAUAAGAGUGAUGUGGAAGACUUUGGCUCAACCG